UUUAAGCAAAAAAACCAAAGGCCGCACAAACUAACAUUGGAUAAUUGCCACGUGUAAUGCAUUCCAACUAAAAUGAAAGCCCGAAACGUAACCCAACUCCUAGCAAACUUCCUACGUGUCAAGUGAAAGUCCUUCCCAAUAGCUUUGCGCCACGUCAAUCCAAUGACACUUAUGAAUGACAUGUCAUCCAAUGAUUCGCUCACGUCCUUCACUUCAAUCCACGUCAGAUCAACCAAGGAUGUUACCUCAUUUCUCACGCUAUAUAAUGGGAGCCCGUCACUCUAUUGUUCUGCAGCUCCACUCUUCUCUCCUUGCUGAGUUCAGCCAUGGCGAUUAACAGACGAAACCCUAGUUUUCUUUCUUUAAUUUUUGUCUCCCUCUUUGUCAUCGCCUCUGCUGAAGUAUUCUUCGAAGAACGCUUCGAAGAUGGAUGGGAAGGUCGGUGGGUAAUAUCCGACUGGAAGAAAGAUGAUAACAUGGCUGGGGAAUGGAAUUGCACUUCUGGAAAAUGGAAUGGAGAUCCUAAUGACAAAGGUAUUCAAACGAGUGAAGACUACAGGUUCUAUGCUAUUUCAGCUGAGUUCCCAGAAGCUAACAACAAGGAGAGGACUCUAGUCUUCCAAUUUUCUGUCAAGCAUGAGCAGAAGCUUGAUUGUGGUGGUGGCUACAUGAAGUUGCUCAGCGGUAACAUUGACCAGAAGAAAUUUGGUGGUGAAACCCCCUACAGCAUCAUGUUUGGGCCUGAUAUCUGUGGCUACAGCACCAAGAAAGUACAUGCUAUUCUGACCUACAAUGGGACAAACCACUUGAUAAAAAAGGAAGUUCCUUGUGAGACUGACCAACUCACUCAUGUUUAUACAUUCAUUCUCCGUCCAGAUGCUACCUACAGCAUUCUUAUCGAUAAUGUUGAGAAACAAACUGGUAGCUUGUACACUGAUUGGGAUCUUCUCCCGCCAAAAAAAAUCAAGGACCCUGAGGCCAAGAAGCCUGAAGAUUGGGAAGACAACGAAUACAUCCCUGAUCCUGAAGAUAAGAAGCCAGAGGGUUAUGAUGACAUUCCAAAAGAGAUCCCUGAUCCUGAUGCUAAAAAGCCUGAAGAUUGGGAUGAUGAAGAAGAUGGUGAAUGGACACCCUCAACAAUUCCCAACCCUGAGUACAAAGGCCCAUGGAAGCCGAAGAAAAUCAAAAACCCUAACUACAAGGGCAAGUGGAAGGCACCAAUGAUUGACAACCCAGAUUUCAAGGAUGACCCUGAUCUCUAUGUUUUCCCCAACUUGAAGUAUGUUGGUAUUGAAUUGUGGCAGGUGAAAUCUGGAACAAUGUUUGAUAAUAUCUUAGUUGCUGAUGAUAUAGAGUAUGCCAAGAAACUAGCUGAAGAAACAUGGGGCAAACAGAAGGAUGCUGAGAAGGCAGCAUUUGAGGAAGCAGAGAAAAAGAAAGAGGAGGAGGAAUCAAAGGAUGACCCAGUUGAUUCUGAUGUAAGCCUACAACAUGCCUUCUUAAGAAUAUGAUGAUUUGUUUGCUGUCGUUCUGGUUUUCAUUGUGUUAACUGACAUUCCAGAUUGAGGACGAAGAUGAUGAUAGUGAUGAUGGUGAAGGAAAUGAGUCUGAUUCUGAUACCAAAUCAGAUGCAAGCAAAGACAGUGCUGAGAUAAAGGAAGAGACCGAGGAAGAUGUACAUGAUGAGCUGUAAGGCAAGAGCACUUCAAUAUUUUGCUGACAAUUUGGUUUGAAGAUUAAAGUGCCGCAAGUGCUCUUAAGAGAUUUCCUUUAUUUUUUUUUUAUUUGUAGUUGUAGGAGUUUCCUGUUAGAGGGGAAAAAGGAAUUGAAUGCUCCGCAGGCAAGAAAACUUUGACU